rnacentral:rRNA from 1 species
GUGCUAUACAUGCAAGUCGAACGAACUCUGGUAUUGAUUGGUGCUUGCAUCAUGAUCUUACAUUUGAGUGAGUGGCGAACUGGUGAGUAACACGUGGGAAACCUGCCCAGAAGCGGGGGAUAACACCUGGAAACAGAUGCUAAUACCGCAUAACAACUUGGACCGCAUGGUCCGAGUUUGAAAGAUGGCUUCGGCUAUCACUUUUGGAUGGUCCCGCGGCGUAUUAGCUAGAUGGUGGGGUAACGGCUCACCAUGGCAAUGAUACGUAGCCGACCUGAGAGGGUAAUCGGCCACAUUGGGACUGAGACACGGCCCAAACUCCUACGGGAGGCAGCAGUAGGGAAUCUUCCACAAUGGACGAAAGUCUGAUGGAGCAACGCCGCGUGAGUGAAGAAGGGUUUCGGCUCGUAAAACUCUGUUGUUAAAGAAGAACAUAUCUGAGAGUAACUGUUCAGGUAUUGACGGUAUUUAACCAGAAAGCCACGGCUAACUACGUGCCAGCAGCCGCGGUAAUACGUAGGUGGCAAGCGUUGUCCGGAUUUAUUGGGCGUAAAGCGAGCGCAGGCGGUUUUUUAAGUCUGAUGUGAAAGCCUUCGGCUCAACCGAAGAAGUGCAUCGGAAACUGGGAAACUUGAGUGCAGAAGAGGACAGUGGAACUCCAUGUGUAGCGGUGAAAUGCGUAGAUAUAUGGAAGAACACCAGUGGCGAAGGCGGCUGUCUGGUCUGUAACUGACGCUGAGGCUCGAAAGUAUGGGUAGCAAACAGGAUUAGAUACCCUGGUAGUCCAUACCGUAAACGAUGAAUGCUAAGUGUUGGAGGGUUUCCGCCCUUCAGUGCUGCAGCUAACGCAUUAAGCAUUCCGCCUGGGGAGUACGGCCGCAAGGCUGAAACUCAAAGGAAUUGACGGGGGCCCGCACAAGCGGUGGAGCAUGUGGUUUAAUUCGAAGCUACGCGAAGAACCUUACCAGGUCUUGACAUACUAUGCAAAUCUAAGAGAUUAGACGUUCCCUUCGGGGACAUGGAUACAGGUGGUGCAUGGUUGUCGUCAGCUCGUGUCGUGAGAUGUUGGGUUAAGUCCCGCAACGAGCGCAACCCUUAUUAUCAGUUGCCAGCAUUAAGUUGGGCACUCUGGUGAGACUGCCGGUGACAAACCGGAGGAAGGUGGGGAUGACGUCAAAUCAUCAUGCCCCUUAUGACCUGGGCUACACACGUGCUACAAUGGAUGGUACAACGAGUUGCGAACUCGCGAGAGUAAGCUAAUCUCUUAAAGCCAUUCUCAGUUCGGAUUGUAGGCUGCAACUCGCCUACAUGAAGUCGGAAUCGCUAGUAAUCGCGGAUCAGCAUGCCGCGGUGAAUACGUUCCCGGGCCUUGUACACACCGCCCGUCACACCAUGAGAGUUUGUAACACCCAAAGUCGGUGGGGUAACCUUUUAGGAACCAGCCGCCUAAA